AGGGAAUGAAGUGCUCCCAUGGCAUUUUGCCAAAACCGCUGAUAAGGCUGAUGACUUCUGCAAG
rnacentral:ncRNA from 1 species